UACAGAGGUCUCAAGCGUUGUUCGGAUUCAUUGGGCGUAAAGGGUGUGUAGGUGGCGCGCUAAGUCGGGUGUGAAAUUUCGGAGCUUAACUGUGAAACUGCAUUCGAUACUGGCGUGCUUGAGGACUGGAGAGGAGACUGGAAUUCAUGGUGUAGCAGUGAAAUGCGUAGAGAUCAUGAGGAAGACCAGUGGCGAAGGCGGGUCUCUGGACAGUUCCUGACACUGAGACACGAAGGCCAGGGGAGCAAACGGG
rnacentral:rRNA from 1 species